CCUACGGGCUGCUUCAGUGGGGAAUAUUGGACAAUGGGCGAAAGCCUGAUCCAGCCAUGCCGCGUGUGUGAAGAAGGCCUUCGGGUUGUAAAGCACUUUCAGUGGGGAAGAAAGCCUUGGGGCUAAUACCCUCGAGGAAGGACAUCACCCACAGAAGAAGCACCGGCUAACUCCGUGCCAGCAGCCGCGGUAAUACGGAGGGUGCGAGCGUUAAUCGGAAUUACUGGGCGUAAAGCGCGCGUAGGCGGUCUGAUAAGCCGGUUGUGAAAGCCCCGGGCUCAACCUGGGAACGGCAUCCGGAACUGUCAGGCUAGAGUGCAGGAGAGGAAGGUAGAAUUCCCGGUGUAGCGGUGAAAUGCGUAGAGAUCGGGAGGAAUACCAGUGGCGAAGGCGGCCUUCUGGACUGACACUGACGCUGAGGUGCGAAAGCGUGGGUAGCAAACAGGAUUAGAUACCCUGGUAGUC
rnacentral:rRNA from 1 species